CGAACAUGGCAUGGGAAAGCAAGCGUCCCAAAGUCGUCGUCGUCGUCGUCGUCAUCGUCAUCGGGAAACAAGCUCGUCGUUGUUCCUCCCUCUGAGGCUUUAAUCAAGGGAAUCUACGCUGGAGAGGGUUAUGUGAUUCAUUUAACACGAACAGGAGUUGAGGAGACAGUCUCCAUCGCUUCCAGCAAGAAGGCAUGAAUCUCCAUUCCCUCCGCUUAUAUGCAUAUGGGGGCCACAACUUGGGUAUUGGCUGACGAGAUGGGGGACUCGCACCACCUUACCCGAGACCAAAUUGCCCCAGGAAAUCGUGAACAAGGCUCGCGAGCUUCAUGAGCACGAUAGUUUCAGCAAGUACAACCUCAUCAAUAACAACUAUGAGCAUUUCACCUUGUUUUGCCGGACCGGCAUACGGGCAAGCGCACAGGCAGCAUUGGCCAGUGCUUCUCUGCAGAAGAUCAGUGAAGUCAAAGAUGUUCGUGAAUUUUCUGCGUGCGAAUUUUGGACUGGAAUGGGCAGCGAGAGACAUGCUCACGUACGCGGAGGAAGGACUGAGAUAAGAAAAUGUAAGUAAGCCGCAAAACUAUGUUCAUUGUUAUUUGAUGUGCCUGGAAAUAUGUAGGGACUUCUGCCUGUUGGUGCUCGGUCCUCUUAGUUGGACUUGCCAAAAGAAGGCAACAUCUAAUCCUGAAAUGAACCUCUCGCAUUAAAAUCACUUCACUUUGGUGCAUAUUGGAUACAUUAUUUUGGCAUUCGAGAAACAAUUGGAGAAACGAGACAACAGUGAUUGUCAACUUCAUCCCUGUAGUUUCACAAACAAAAAAGAAA